rnacentral:rRNA from 1 species
GACGUAGGGCGCGAGCGUUGUCCGGAUUUAUUGGGCGUAAAGAGCUCGUAGGCGGCUUGUCGCGUCGACCGUGAAAACCCGUGGCUCAACUACGGGCUGGCGGUCGAUACGGGCAGGCUGGAGUUCGGUAGGGGAGACUGGAAUUCCUGGUGUAGCAGUGAAAUGCGUAGAGAUCGUAAGGAAGACCAGUGGCGAAGGCGGGUCUCUGGACAGUUCCUGACACUGAGGCUCGAAGGCCAGGGGAGCAAACGGG